CUAUUUUUACCAUGCAAAUCUGCAAUCUGUAAAGAGAGCUUCAUGCCCCUUGUGGAGAUCUAGGCUCAGACUGUUGGCUGGAAAGAGCUGAUUUUCACUGGGGCUGGAUCUGGAAUUCUCUACAGUAAAGAGUCCAGCUCAGGGGAUGGUUGGCUGACAUGUACAGAGUGACUGGACACUUCUGUUGCAUCAGAGCAGCUUGCUUACAAACUCUGAGAUUUAAAGAAAAUAUGAUGCUGGCAUGCUUAUCCCAUGAGACGACUUGGCCCACAAAGCACAAACACUAAACUCGAAC
rnacentral:lncRNA from 1 species